UCCCCAGUAUCUCAGAUGGUAUAGAGUCUGCUUGCAGUGCAGGAGACCUGGGUUUGAUCCCUGGGUUGGGAA
rnacentral:tRNA from 1 species